UGAGCAAUCUGCCCUUCUCAUCGGAAUAAGCGUUGGAAACGACGUCUAAUGCCGAAUACGACCUCCUUUCGCAUGAUCGGAGGUGGAAAGCUCCGGCGGAGAAGGAUGAGCUCGCGGCCUAUCAGCUAGUUGGUGUGGGUAAUGGCCCACCAAGGCGACGGACGGGUAGCCGGCCUGGAGGAGGGUCGACCCGGCCACACGUGGGACUGAGACACGGCCCAGACCUCCGUACGGGAGCAG
rnacentral:rRNA from 1 species